rnacentral:lncRNA from 1 species
AUGUAUUUAUUUUUUUGGUGGUCAUUUUUUGUCAUCUCAUUCAGUAUCCAGGAAUCUAGGAAUCUAGUAUCUAGAAAUACCAAAGAUAUUCUGUUUAAAGGAGAAAAGAGGGAGAUUUGUCUUCUGAGAACGAUCUUGGAGAAAACCAGCAGGAAAAGGAAGCAAGCAGGCAGGGUAGGGGUGUGAGGCAAACACAAAUGUUGGCAUGUAUGUGGUCCUACAGCCGGAGGGGGAAGGAUCCAGGGAAGAUAGGGAAGGAGACAGAGAGAAGAUGUGUGUGAGAAGAGAAAAGGUAUGUGGUUACUGGGACAAACUCUCAGAAGAUGCAGAAGGAAUGGAAUGAGGUCAUAACUGAACAAGCCCUGCAAUUACUCCUGUGAUGGGAGGGAGAGAGAGGAGAAGUUGGAAGGAGAAGCUGAGGGUUUUGGAGAGAAACAGGGAAGGCAAUGAGGAAGUUCAUGGCCACUAGUCUUGAUCUCUCACUCAAGUUAAAUGUGAGAUGGCAGAUUACCAUGUGGGAGUUGGGGCUCUGCUGUUAAUGGAAUGAAACGACUUUAUGCAAAGUCAGUCAAUUUAGAGACAAAUUAAAGCACUGAUUAGUUCACAGUGAGUGGCUGAUUUCUGCUGAGUUUAUGAUGACCAGUGGUUUUGUUGCAGAGUUCUCCCUAGGAGAACUUGAGAGUUCAAGAGCAGAAAUAUGGCCUUCGGGCUAGCAUAUCCCUUGCUUCCUAAUGCUGCUCUGAACUUUUCAGCACCUUAAAAAACUCAGCACACCAUUUAUUUAUUUCUUUAUUUUUAUUGCUUUUACCUACCAACUUCAGGGCCCGUAUCUGCUUCUGUGAUGUCAAUACUUGGGUCAUCAUCUUUGUCUCUUACCUCUUGACGUCAUCCUCUCAUUGUCUCUCUAGCCAUGUUAAUAACAUCAUUUCAAAGUCCCUUGACCUCCUCAGCUCUAGUUAACUAUAUCUUAUUCCACCUAAGCAACCCAUAAACACACCUACAUUUCACACACUAUAGUCAUUUUUCAUAGCUUCUUUUCCACUGUCAUCUUGAGCUGUGGCUUCAGAUUAAAGACUCUAAAUUAGGGAAUAAAAAUGUACUUUAAUGUGAAGGUACA